GGAACAGAACAGGAACAGAACGGUAACAGUAUGGUAACAGAACGGUACCAGAACAGGAAUAGAACGGUAACAGAACAGGAACAGAACGGUAACAGAACGUUAACAGAACAGGAACAGAACAGGAACAGAACGGUAACAGAACGGUAACAGAACGGUAACAGAACGGUAACAGAACAGGAACAGAACAGGAACAGAACGGUAACAGAACAGGAACAGAACGGUAACAGAAGGGGAACAGAACAGGAACAGAACAGUAACAUGUUUUAGAGAAAUCUGAAAACAGUUAUUAGAUAGAGGAUUCCUGACAGAACGGUAACAGAGCGGUAACAGAACGGUAACAGAACGGUAACAGAGCGGUAACAGAGCGGUAACAGAGCGGUAACAGAGCGGUAACAGAGCGGUAACAUGUUUUAGCGAAAUGUGCAUAAUAAUAAUAAUACUGUCAGUUAAAGAUCCAGGUAGACNNNNNNNNNNAUAACUUUCUCUGUUAGCUGCGCACCUCUGGUGCCCUGCGCACCUCUGGGGCCCUGCGCACCUCUGGGGCCCUGCGCACCUCUGGGGCCCUGCGCACCUCUGGGGCCCUACAUUGUCCUGCUUCUGCUCCAUGUGCUCUCUGCCUGUUCCAUAGCAACGGCUCCGCUCGGAUGAUGAGAGAGAGAGACAGAGCUUUCAGCCUCUUUUUCCUUCACAAAAAAAAAAAAAAAAAACUUGACCAAACUCACGUAAUAGUAUCAGAUGAACUCGGUUGUUAUUAUUUGAUGAGGUUGGUUCACUCCUGACACCAUGUUAUGAUGAUAAGAGAUGACUGUACAGAGACGCUGCUCAGCAGAGCAGGAGGCAGCAAACCGGGACCACAUUCUGACCCCUCAUUCUGACCCCUCAUUCUGACCCCACAUUCUGACCCCUUUUUUUAACAUCAAUUUUUAUUUUUAUUUUAAAUUUAUUUAAAAAAUGUUUACAAAUCUUGGUUUUUAAAUGGUACUUUUAAAAUGUUAAGGAAAAAUUUCCACGUCCAAAAGCUUAAAGUUCAAGACAAAACCACGAGGAGAGUUGUCAGAACACGUCAACAACGGUCUCUUUUAUAUCACGUUAAAACGUCUCGUAUAUCACUUUAAAACACGACGAUGAUGAUACACACCCCUCGCCCCAAAACCCCCUUUUUUUUACAAUGAUUAAAAAAAAUUAAAUCAAAAUCAGGAGAUUCUAACGUUCCUAGUAUGAAGUCUGUCUGCGUUCUCCUAAAUCACAACGGUAGUCACGUGAACACAGCCCAACCCGCUGGCAAUCUACUGCUCAUUUCAUUGGACAGACACCACGGAGGGAGUACAGUACGUUAAUUAGGUGGCUCAGAGUUAGACACGACGCAUCGGAGAGGUAAAGGCGUAGCGCAGUGAGAACAGGAAAUACGCCCCCACGUUAAACCCCCAAGAUCAAUUUCAUAUGUUAUAAAUCCACGUCCUCGUGGCAACAGUGGUUCUUUUACGAGUUCACGUUUUGUAUUUCAGAAACCCCUUUUUCGAUACUUUCAAAAUGACAAUUUCCAUCUGUUAGAUACAGUCAGAUACGACCACUGACUGUUAGUCCACUGCCUAAAACAUGGACACUACCGUUUAGAAAGCAGCUGGUACACGACACACUGAAAUAUGAACGAAGGACCGUUUGUGGAAUUCCCUGAAACAACGCAGGAGGACACGGGAGAGAGAUUCUUGAUCGGUGAAUCGCCGGUUCCAAUAAUCAAUAAUGACGGCGCUGGCUGAUAUGAGCAGACGACAGAGGGGAAGAGGGCCUCAUUUCAGGAUCAUUAAUAAUUCAGCCAAUUAAAAAAUGGUUUGAUUUUAGAAACCAGUCCAUUAGAAAUAGGAAGCUUUCUACUGUUAACAUUUCUGACACUUGUGGAAUAUCCUCUACAGCUAAAUACACUGCCAACAGGCUAGAGAACUACAACUAACCUUUCAAAUCUCCCACUACAGGCAACAAGACCGUCUAACACGGACAAACGGAACCAACAGCGUUACUGAACACACAUAAAAGGACACCUAAAAGAGACCAACUCAGAGACAUACCAUAUCCCUCCUCUGGUACUAUUACAUGUCCUGACAGUCACUGACUGCACGGCAUUACAUCACCUUCUGUAAACAUCACAUCAAGAUACGAAAAUAUCCUCAGAUUUUAGAACCAUUUAAAAAAAAAAAAUAAUAAUUUAAAACAGCAAUCCGCUACCAAUUUGUGAAAACUGCAUCUCUGCUCACAACAUUGUGUUAGAAAAUAAAUGAGUUGUUAUUAGAGAGAGAGGAUUCCUGACAGAAUGGGAACAGAACGGUAUCAGAACAGGAACAGAACAGGAACAUGUUUUAGAGAAAUCUGAAAACAGUUAUUAGAUAGAGGAUUCCUGACAGAACGGUAACAGAACGGUAACAGAACGAUAACAGAACGGUAACAGAGCAGGAACAGAACAGGAACAGAACGGUAACAGAGCAGGAACAGAACAGGAACAGAACGGGAACAGAGCAGGAACAGAGCAGGAACAGAACAGGAACAGAACGGUAACAUAACGGUAACAUAACGGUAACAGGAACAGAACGGUAAC
rnacentral:lncRNA from 13 species